rnacentral:rRNA from 1 species
GACGAACGCUGGCGGCGUGCUUAACACAUGCAAGUCGAACGGAAAGGCCCUGCUUUUGUGGGGUGCUCGAGUGGCGAACGGGUGAGUAACACGUGAGUAACCUGCCCUUGACUUUGGGAUAACUUCAGGAAACUGGGGCUAAUACCGGAUAGGAGCUCCUGCUGCAUGGUGGGGGUUGGAAAGUUUCGGCGGUUGGGGAUGGACUCGCGGCUUAUCAGCUUGUUGGUGGGGUAGUGGCUUACCAAGGCUUUGACGGGUAGCCGGCCUGGGAGGGUGACCGGCCACGAUGGGACUGGGAGAGGGCCAAGACGCCUACGGGAGGCAGCAGUGGGGAAUAUUGCAAAAUGGGCGGAAGCCUGAUGCAGCAACGCCGCGGGCGGGAGGACGGCCGUCGGGGUGGAAACCGCUUUCGCCUGUGACGAAGCGGGAGUGACGGUAAUGGGUAAAGAAGCACCGGCUAACUACGUG